rnacentral:lncRNA from 1 species
GGCAUUUUCUCUUAUGUGCUGGGUGGACAUUUGGCAAUAUCAUAUAAAAUGAAAAUAUUUGCAUAGCCCAUGACCCAGAGAGUCCACUUGCAUAAGGACGUGCUUUAUAAUGGUCUAUUCCACUGCAGAUAAUAAAAGAAGGCGUGCAAGAAGAUCUAUAUGCAGUGACGUGCAAAGGUAUCAAGAACAAGUUGCGAAACCCCAUGGUAUGAUUUCAUCUGAUUAAAAGAAAAAAGGUGGUAGGUGCUGAAUGGUUGAAUAAAUGAACAGUCCUAAAAUGGAUAUAUUUUGGGGCAACAGUAAGUUGCCCCCAGGAAGAAAAUCACUUUUGGAAAAUAAAACUGGCAAGAAUCUAUGCUAAAUGGAUGAGACCAGCCACAGAAGCACUUCAUCCUAAAAGAUGGUAAAGGUGGUGUAUACAAAAUUAGGCCGGGUGCAGUGGGUUAUGGCUGUAAUCUCAGCACUUUGGGAGGCCUAGGUGGGUGGAUUGCUUGAGCCCUGGAGUUCGAGACCAGCCUGGGCAACAUGGUGAAACCCAGUCUCUACAAAAAAUACAAAAAUUAGCCAUUCGUGGUGGGAUGCAACUGUAGUACCAGGUACUGGGGA